rnacentral:tRNA from 1 species
GGUUCGCGUAGCACGAGAGGCCUCUUCAGCUUCCCAAGCUGAAUGUCGUGGGUUCGAAUCCCAUCGAAUCA